rnacentral:rRNA from 1 species
UAAAAGGUAACGGAGGCGCCCAAAGGUUCCCUCAGAAUGGUUGGAAAUCAUUCGCAGAGUGUAAAGGCACAAGGGAGCUUGACUGCGAGACCUACAAGUCGAGCAGGGUCGAAAGACGGGCUUAGUGAUCCGGUGGUUCCGCAUGGAAGGGCCAUCGCUCAACGGAUAAAAGCUACCCUGGGGAUAACAGGCUUAUCUCCCCCAAGAGUCCACAUCGACGGGGAGGUUUGGCACCUCGAUGUCGGCUCAUCGCAUCCUGGGGCUGUAGUCGGUCCCAAGGGUUGGGCUGUUCGCCCAUUAAAGCGGUACGCGAGCUGGGUUCAGAACGUCGUGAGACAGUUCGGUCCCUAUCCGUCGUGGGCGUAGGAAAUUUGAGAGGAGCUGUCCUUAGUACGAGAGGACCGGGAUGGACACACCGCUGGUGUACCAGUUGUCUUGCCAAAGGCAUCGCUGGGUAGCUAUGUGUGGACGGGAUAAGUGCUGAAAGCAUCUAAGCAUGAAGCCCCCCUCAAGAUGAGAUUUCCCAUUACGCAAGUAAGUAAGACCCCUGAAAGACGAUCAGGUAGAUAGGUUCGAGAUGGAAGUGCAGCGAUGUACGGAGUUGACGAAUACUAAUAGGUCGAGGACUUAACCAAA